GAGUUUUUCCUGAACUGGGAGCAGUUUUUCAAAAUUGCAGCUGAAUUCUUCUCUGCCCUGCCUGCCAUGUCAGGGCACCCCAUUGAAUUAAUUGGUUUCCAGGGUCGAAUCUGGCCUGGCAGCCUUCACACAAAGGCUAUGGAGAAAACUGAGCUGCCCCCUUUUUUAAGACUCUCACAAUACAGGAUCUUGAUGAAGUUAACAGCUGGCAAAUGCAGAACGUGGAAAAAGAAAUACUGCUUCAGGCAGCAGUGUCAUUGUAACCCUUGGAAUCCAGGGCUGUGGGAGGCUCUUGCACAGAGAUGUUUGUUCAAGGACAGCAGCACAACAAAUGCGACAGUCAGUAACAAAAGCUCAGAGAGGAAAGCAAGACCCAGCAGGGAACAGGGAGGAAUUGCCUUUCAAGCAUGGCACUGAGUGACCAGACAGGACGCAUCAUACAGCACUACACCAAGAACAAGAAACGUGCAUUGAGCGUCCAGAACCUCAGAUGAGUUAUUUUUUGGAACUCAGUCACCAAGUUAUAUGCUGCUGUCUUGGCUGUUUGCACGAUGGGGAAUUGCAAGGCCAGGAGCACUGUGUUCAUGACCAUGUUACUGGAAGUGGCAGACAGACCACUUGGGCAGCUCACUACCUCCGUGCGAGCAGGAGAGCAGACCCUUGGGUUUGAGUGUUACUGGAUGGAGAAUACAACUGCAGCUGGCCGGGAUUUCCCCUCCCACCAGGACAGGAGCAGGCUGUGGACCUUCCCAGGAGCUUGCCCGGGCACUGCUGCAGGAAGCCUGCAUUCAUGGACACUCUUUGUUCCUGGUGACCAUGAGGUUCUCAGUGACCCAUCACAACUCCUCAGCUGAAGGCUUUUGGCCAUGCUCCUGUGCUACUGAAGUCAGCAAGAACAACGCAACCCAUUCAAGCAGGAACAGAAUUUGGCCUGACAGAAGCAAACAGAAAAGCUGAGACAAUGAGCCCUCUCAAUUGCUCAGAAAUAAUCUUCCAGCUGAUGGGCAUAAAACUGUAUUUACAGAAAAGGCCAAGAUGAUUUUCCAUAACUCUCCUGCAAGGCAGCCCUCUUUCCUCUGCUGGUCUUAUAAAAGCAGAGAAGCCAGCAUUCACAGCACUGCUGAUAUAAAGUAAAUCAACAGAUUGGAGGCAUCUUUCCAAAUAGACAACUGUGUUUAUUAGUCCAAGAUACUAGUAAAAGCACUCUGUAAUGAAGAUUUCCUCAUUUCUUUGUUUUAUGUUUAUUAUAGCUGCUCCUCUGUUGCAAGAAAUAAAAUUGACAUGAGGAUUAUUAGAGUCAAAGGCAGACUUGGAUUUUUUUUUAAUGUGCUUGGGGUAACUAACACAGACAGCAACGUAGCAGGAACUGCAAAGGGAGUAGUUGUUUCAUGUUACAAGGCAGACCAACACAAAUUUAUGUGGGUAGUUUCCUGGGAACUGAUCCAAAAAGAACUUUAGAUGUCAUCAUCCCCAGCUCCACAAUGCUGAAGUUUCACUGUCUAUUACCAGGGCAUAAUCUCCAGCCUCAAAUUAACAGAGAAACAGGAUGCAAAGUGGGAUGCCACAACUCAAUACUGAGCACUGCAAAUCACAGCCUUAAUGGAAAUGAGCCCCCAA